AUUGAACGCUGGCGGCAGGCCUAACACAUGCAAGUCGAGCGGCAGCGGGAAAGUAGCUUGCUACUUUUGCCGGCGAGCGGCGGACGGGUGAGUAAUGCCUGGGAAAUUGCCCAGUCGAGGGGGAUAACAGUUGGAAACGACUGCUAAUACCGCAUACGCCCUACGGGGGAAAGCAGGGGACCUUCGGGCCUUGCGCGAUUGGAUAUGCCCAGGUGGGAUUAGCUAGUUGGUGAGGUAAUGGCUCACCAAGGCGACGAUCCCUAGCUGGUCUGAGAGGAUGAGCAGCCACACUGGAACUGAGACACGGUCCAGACUCCUACGGGAGGCAGCAGUGGGGAAUAUUGCACAAUGGGGGAAACCCUGAUGCAGCCAUGCCGCGUGUGUGAAGAAGGCCUUCGGGUUGUAAAGCACUUUCAGCGAGGAGGAAAGGUUGAUGCCUAAUACGUAUCAACUGUGACUUUACUCGCAGAAGAAGCACCGGCUAACUCCGUGCCAGCAGCCGCAGUAA
rnacentral:rRNA from 1 species